AUUGAACGCUGGCGGCAUGCCUUACACAUGCAAGUCGAACGGUAACAGGUCUUCGGAUGCUGACGAGUGGCGAACGGGUGAGUAAUGCAUCGGAACGUGCCCAGUAGUGGGGGAUAGCCCGGCGAAAGCCGGAUUAAUACCGCAUACGACCUGAGGGUGAAAGGGGGGGAUCGCAAGACCUCUCGCUAUUGGAGCGGCCGAUGUCAGAUUAGCUAGUUGGUGGGGUAAAGGCCUACCAAGCAACGAUCUGUAGUUGGUCUGAGAGGACGACCAGCCACACUGGGACUGAGACACGGCCCAGACUCCUACGGGAGGCAGCAGUGGGGAAUUUUGGACAAUGGGCGCAAGCCUGAUCCAGCAAUGCCGCGUGCAGGAAGAAGGCCUUCGGGUUGUAAACUGCUUUUGUCAGGGAAGAAAUCUUCUGGGUUAAUACCUCGGGAGGAUGACGGUACCUGAAGAAUAAGCACCGGCUAACUACGUGCCAGCCGCCGCAGUAAGAC
rnacentral:rRNA from 1 species